rfam:Camelus ferus unplaced genomic scaffold scaffold1408, whole genome shotgun sequence.
GAGGGUAUAGCUUGGGGGUAGAGUGUGUGCUUAGCAUGCACGAGGUCCUGGGUUCAAUCCCCAGCACCUCUA